rnacentral:rRNA from 1 species
CCUACGGGUGGCAGCAGUGAGGAAUAUUGGUCAAUGGACGAGAGUCUGAACCAGCCAAGUCGCGUGAAGGAUGAAUGCCCUAUGGGUUGUAAACCUCUUUUAUAAAGGAAUAAAACGAGGCACGUGUGCCUUUUUGCAUGUACUUUAUGAAUAAGGAUCGGCUAACUCCGUGCCAGCAGCCGCGGUAAUACGGAGGAUCCGAGCGUUAUCCGGAUUUAUUGGGUUUAAAGGGAGCGUAGAUGGGUUGUUAAGUCAGUUGUGAAAGUUUGCGGCUCAACCGUAAGAUUGCAAUUGAUACUGGCAGUCUUGAGUACAGGUGAGGUAGGCGGAAUUCGUGGUGUAGCGGUGAAAUGCUUAGAUAUCACGAAGAACCCCGAUUGCGAAGGCAGCUUACUAAACUGUGACUGACAUUGAUGCUCGAAAGUGUGGGUAUCGAACAGGAUUAGAUACCCUUGUAGUC